rnacentral:misc_RNA from 1 species
CAUGAGAAGGAAGGAGAAUGAAAAUAGCCCAAUUAGAAAGGGCCAGCCAACAAAAACAAUACCUAGGCAGAGAACCACUGUGAAAGGAAAGAAUGAUCUGAUUAUUGACUUCCAGUUGAUCCAAUGUCCCUUGAACAGUAUAAGAGCCGCCACAUUUAUCAUGUUCCAACCCAUUGAACCACGAUAACAGAGUCGAUUCAGGCAGUUGGCAACAAAUGAAUGAGAGUUACAUGUAAAAAGGUUGUAGGUUUUAUGCUCAAAGUGACACACGCUUGACUGAAGAGCAUCAUCCCAUGUGAUUGCAGCCCCAUACUCGGUGUGCAUAUAGCCAUGCUUGCAUGUGUGCCCAGCUAGGUUUGGGGGAAAGCAACACUG